CAAGAGCUCUUAAUCAGAUUCUCUUCAUAGCUAAAUCAACAACAUCUCUGCAGUUAUUUAUUUACAAUAGAGAAGAACAAACUUAAUUACCACAAUAAUUUUGUUAAUACAAACUCCCACCAAAUCAUGGCUUUUCAGCCAACAACUUUUAAAUUUCAAAGAAAAUGUAAACUAAACCUCAAAGAAAUAAAAAUAAGAAAGAAGACAACAACAACAACAUGUGUUCUCAAAAAUAAGAUGACAAUAAGCAGGGGAAGCAACUCUGUGCCUUAAAAAAUCCAACGUAGAGACUCACCGGCAGCAGGGGAAGCAACUCUGAAUUGCAAAACGACGACGUACCCUUCACUUGUAAAACAUGUUUUCACAUAAAUCCUUGAACAAGGGACUAAUGUUUUCACACUAAUCCAACUUUCAAACAAUUUUGGUUACAAACACAAUCCAGCAUUCAGGUUUUCAUAACCAUCGACAAAAUCCUUCGAUGGGCUCUUUCAUUUGCCUGAAAAUCGAUAGAUGGACAAUCUCAAACACUGUGACUAUAACACAAACAUUAAGACGUAAUAUUGCAAAGUAGUAACACUAACCUGUUAGGCAAGUUGCAGAGUCACUUGACCUCAAAAAGAAGAUUUGACAGCAAGUUGAAAGGAAAACUUGUCUUUUAAUUCAUUGGCACAAGCGACAGCUAAAGGAUUGCAGUUGCGUAAAUGAAUGAUCUCUAUCCAAGAGUGGUCAUACGGCCAAUCGAGCUGUUGUAAUUUGUAGCAAUGACUCAUGCUUAGUCUACGAAGGUUCGGGAAGCUUCCACGUUGAGGUCUCCAUCGCACCAAAUCGGUGUCUUGAAUUUGAAGUUCAAUAAGUUUCAAAAAANACAGAUAAAAAAAAUUAACUUAAUUUUAUUGUUGCGUCAAGUUAGGCCGAUUUGAUCAUCGAUAGAGACCACAAUCAGAAUUCCCAUGAUUUGAACUAUAGAACCUCCAAAAUAUUACUCCCUCCGUUCCAAACGAAAUGUCUUGUUUCCUUUUUGGGCUGUUCCAAACGAAAUGUCAUGUUUCAUUUUUUGGCAAUACACACUCUCUCUAUACUUAAUAUUUAGAUAAUUUACAUCAACCCACUUUAUCUACUUUAUACACAUUUCUUAAUCUCCGUAUCGAAAAAAAUAGGAUAUUUCGUUUGGGACGGAGAGAGUACUUUCCAAUACGCCAUCGAUUUGACAUUUACAGAAUUAGGGUAUCGUCAACUAUUCGAAGCGAACUUUUAUGUGUCAGAUUGUGAAAUUAGUUUGAUGAUUUUGAAUUAAGCUCAAGAAAUGGCUAUUCCGAAUAUGGCCUUAGUUUUAGCAAUAAAUGAUCGAAUUGAUUAGGACUGAUGAUAAAAUAGAUGAAAAUUAAUUUUUUGAGUAAUUAUAUAAAAUUAUACCUACCAAUGUAUUUUAAUUUGUCCAUAAUUAUUGAAUUUCAUGCUAAAAACAAUUUUAUAAAUAUAACAUCCUAACUUUAGGUUAUAUCAUGAUUCAAGCGAAGACUUCCAACCUCCCAAUAGGUUGAGUAAGGCAAAAAUGUCAAUAGUGUGAAACUUCUAAUCCUUAUAUUCAAGAUGACUAGGAAAAUAUUCAGGUAUAGUAAACUAAAUAUAUAUAAUCCUAUCCUCCUAUGGAUAAAUAUCAAGACUUCAAUGCCCUAACUUCUAGUAACUAAUAAAUUCUCAUUUUUCUGAUGAGAUCCUUUAUCUCACAUUUUAUUCUAUCUCAUUGUGUCUUAUUAUCAAAUUUAUUAUUUUAUAACUAUUUAUUAUAAAAAUAAAAAUAUUGUUAUAUAAUAAAUUAGAAUUAAUAUUUAUCACUAAAAAUCAUUUUUUAAAAAUAUAUAUAUACUCUUCUUUUCACUACAUAAAAUUCAUCAAAUAUUACAUUAAUUAAAACUUAUGUCAAACUAAAUCAUCAUAGUUUUCAUAAAUCAUAAAUCGGAGGGAGUAAUAUGUACUAAGAAAACAUAAGGGAAUGGGUGGAAUAAAUAAUAGUUUGCAAUUAUGGGAUAUGAGAAAAUUAAUGUUGGAAUGGGCAAAUGGGAUCAAAAGCCAACAGCUCUCAAUACCAGAUCUCGAUGCAAAGCAUGUGGGAAUAGUGAUGGUGUUUCAGACGAUGUCGAUUGUUCUAUAAUUUUUUGUGUCUCGAUAUUAUAUCUGUCUCGUUUUGAACCAAUUUAAUAAAGUCUUAAGAUGCAUUCUUUUUUAUGAAAAAUGAUGAAAUACAUAUAUUUUUCCCCCCCUUUUUCCACACACAUUCUCUUAGUUAAAAUUCCAUAUUAUGUUAAAAUAUCACUUUUCAUAUAACAAGAUAACCGGUGGAAUAUCUAAAGUGCCAUGGAUUUUGAAUGUCUUUUUAAAGAAAUUGAGUUGAAUUUGAUGCCUUUUAAUUUAUAGUGAGGCAGAAUUUAAAUGAUAAAUGAUGGAGUUGGGCCUUGAUUUUGCUUUGGGCCGAAAUUUUGCUUACUAUAUCGAGAAGCCCAAUUGGUCUAUGUUAAUUGAUAGGUAAUGGGUUAGCUGAUAAAUGCUUUAGAAAUUUUAUGAAUGAUAAUUAAUGAAUUAUUUUCUUCUUUGACAACAAGAGCUCUUAAUCAGAUUCUCUUCAUAGCUAAAUCAACAACAUCUCUGCAGUUAUUUAUUUACAAUAGAGAAGAACAAACUUAAUUACCACAAUAAUUUUGUUAAUACAAACUCCCACCAAAUCAUGGCUUUUCAGCAAACAACUUUUAAAUUAAAAAAUCCACAUAGAGACUCACCGGCAGCAGGGGAAGCAACUCUGAAUUGCAAAACGACGACGUACCUUCACUUGUAAAACAUGUUUUCACAUAAAUCCUUGAACAAGGGACUAAUGUUUUCACACUAAUCCAACUUUCAAACAGUUUUGGUUACAAACACAAUCCAGCAUUCAGGUUUUCAUAACCAUCGACAAAAUCCUUCGAUGGGCUCUUUCAUUUGCCUGAAAAUCGAUAGAUGGACAAUCUCAAACACUGUGACUAUAACAGAAACAUUAAGACGUAAUAUUGCAAAGUAGUAACACUAACCUGUUUGGCAAGUCGCAGACUCACUUGACCUCAAAAAGAAGAUUUGACAAGAAGUCGAAAGGAAAACUUGUCUUUUAAUUCAUUGGCACAAGCAACGGCUAAAGGAUUGCACUCGACUAAAUUAAUGAUCUCUAUCCAAGAGUGAUCAUAUGGCCAAUCGAGCUGUUGUAAUUUGUAGCAAUCCCACAUGCUUAGUCUACGAAGCAUCGGGAAGCUUCCACGUUGAGGUCUCCAUCGCACCAAAUCGGUGUCGAAAAUUCGAAGCUCAAUAAGUUUCAAAAAACUCCCUGGUGUUAUGUCCCACUCGGGGCCUCGAAAUGCAUAGUGUUUUAAUAUGAGAAUCUCGAGAUUUGGCAGCAGCGAACCAAUGUCAUUCAUGUAAUUCCAAGGAUAUCCCCCUAACCCAGACAAACGUAACACCUUGAGACUUGAUGGAAACAUUGAAAGAGGAAUCGUAUUACACUCAUACUCUAUCUUGGGAUUCUUAACCCAAUAUUCAAGUUUCUCCAAAUUCUGGAGUUGGGAGAUAUAACCCAAGCAACUCAAUGGGUUUCUUUCAUCAUCAUCAUAAGGCUUCAACUCCACUUGAAUUCCUAAUUCCUUUAAAUUAGGAAUUCUUUUGAGAACUUCCCUUGUACAACUGUUUGCACUCACACCAAGAAGUGAGAUGAGUUUGUUCAAGGUAGCAUCAUCAGUAUUAGGGGUUGGUAGGUCCCUUCCACUUAUCUUAAGACGCUCUAGUUCUUGCAUGUCCCAAAUUUGCACAGGCAUAUAAGACUGAACUCCACGCUUUUUAAUGAACAUAUGUGGCUGGAUAAUCAAGAAUUGAAGGUGAAAAAGGUUGGAUAUGGAAGAAGGGAGCUCCCCGUUGCAUUUUAGGGAAAGGUACCGCAGACAAACAAGUUUAAAAUUUCAAUUGGGAUAUGGUAAAAUCGAACUCUAAGAGCACAUAGUACUCUAAGCAACUUGAAACCCAUGGCAUGUAUUGGGAUUGGAUACGGGUGAUAAGGACCAAGACAAAGGAGAGAACGGGCAGUGGAUGCACAAUCACUUUUUAUCGAAUCAUACACUUGUUUGAAGGCAAAUAAAUUGUUGUAAUGGGCACACAAGCGACGCUGGUCUUUUGUCACAUCAUCACAACCUCGUAAGACAUGUAGAAACUUGAUCCUACUAGCUUCUACCUUACAUAAGUGCUGCCAACAAGAAUGCACGCGAUACCGUCUCUCCAAAUACCAAGAAUUUUCUGUGUCGAGAACAAGAUGAUACGACUUAGAAAGCUUUUCCCAAAAACCUUCAAAACUCUUUUUAACAUCCAGUUCAAGAAAACCCUCAACACUCAACAGAGAAUUGAUAAAGACUGAAUUCUGAUCAGCAUAUGGAGGGAAAGCUCCCAUAUAGAGGAAAAACAUUUUUAAAUGUUGGGGUAAGUAGUCAUAACUUGGGAAAAGUACCUCUGAUAUUUGAUUAUAUGCAUCCUCAAAAAGUGAGUUGUGUUGUUUGCAGGCUACCUCAGUCCAGUAUUCUGGGGUCUUGUCGGCUUUUGAUAGGAGCUCUGCAACCGUGACUGUCAUAAGAGGAAGGCCUUCACAUUUCUUUGCAAUCUUCUCUCCUAGUUCCUCAAGUUGGCGAGGGAAACCGUCUUCACUGAACACCUUCUCACCAAGUAAUUUCUUAUUGUCUUCUUCAUUCAACAAGCUCAGUGUUAUGCCCGUAAGCUGCGGGUGUGUUAUUUGUUGUCUACUUGUAAGCAAGUAUCCAAUCCCUCCACGAAUAUUCCCUUCUUUCAAGCAAUUUAUCAUGCGACGUAUUGCUUGUGUCUCCCAAACAUCAUCCAACACGAUGAGACAUUUCUUACCCUGCAAUUUUUCUUUCAAUAGACCAACUAAUUCCUCACCAUCAUCGUCUCCUUGGGCAAGCAUUCGGUAAGCGUUGGGAUCCACUUGAGCUAGAACGCAGCGUAAUAAUUCAUUGGGUUCGCAUAUUCUACCCACUUUGACCCAUGCUCGAAACUCAAAAUGGCUCCGAAUUGAUGGAUCUUCAAAUAUAUGUUUAGCAAUAGUUGUCUUUCCAAUGCCCGCCAUCCCAAUAAUCGAAUAGUGUUUUUCUUCAAGAAGAUUAUCUCUGGCUCUUUGAAAUACAUAAGAUCUUCCAACCAUCUUUGACUUGAUUCCACCAAAAUCGAUUCUUGAGGAAAUAGGCUCGCCUUCUUCUUCAGCCAUAUUCUCCAUUUCAUUAGUGUACUCCUCCAUCAUCUUCACCAUCUCGACGAAGCAAUCAACAUGGUGUGCAGAUGCAGAUCUACAGAGAAGACAAGUUGCUCUCGCUUUCGAGUUGUGGAAGAAUCUGAGGUAAGAAUGGGAUUCGAGUAAAUCUUCGAAUUCCCAAACUGCCUCUUUUAUGAGUUCAUCCAAAGCAUUCACCUCUGUCCUGAUCUUGCUGCAGCUGGUCUCAUCCAAUUCGAGUAGAACUUUCUGCAAUCGAUCCAUCUGGUCGUAGGCAGGUUGUAAGAUUUGUGGAGAGUGGGAAACGUGAGAAAUGCGAGACGAUUGUAGAAUAUGCUGAAUCGUAUUCUUGAGAGAAGCCGCCGCACCAAAAGCCGCCAUACCCAAAUUAUCAGCUGAGAUACGAUAUAUUGUUGAAAUGAAAUUGCUUAGGUCUGCAAUUUUCCUCCAAAAUGAAGCUUAAACUAAACUGCAAUUAACCCAGAAUAAAAUUCAGUCGCCUAAGAAAGAAACGAAGAAGAAGAAGAAGGAAUUAUAAUAAGCAAACGCAGACGAAACAAAUGAUAGAUCUCAGUUCUCUGCUUACCUCUCGAAGGCGGCGGCAGCUGGUUUUGAUACAAUUUCAGAAACAUUCAAAACCACAUUCAAGAAUUUUAGUAAAUGAUUUGAAAAGAUGUGUAUAAUGUAAUGGUAAAAUCGAUCUAUUGAUGAUUUUGAAUGCAAUUGUGUGGAAGAAUUGUAGCAAGAAACAAAGCAACCGAAGAUUGUAAUUAUUAAGAAUGAGCAAUCAACCACUUGAAAAUUAUGAAAGAAGUGUGAAAACACAUGGCUUCCACUAGUUUUCGUAAAAGAAAACGCACGCCAAUAAAGCUAAUAAUAAAAUAUCCUAUAUAUAAUUAUAUUGGGUCCUAGCCCAAGCUUAUCAAUUCCAUGUGUGUAUGUAUUUAAUUUUAACAAUAAAAUUUUAAUUAAAAUAAAAAAAUUAACCAUAUAUGAAUUAAAAAAAUUACAAUAAUUUAAAUAAAAUAAAAUAAAAUUACAAUAAAAAAUAUCAAUUCCAUCAUUGUCGUUCGUAAUAUUUUUUUUAAUUACAAUAACAUUACUUUUUUUUAAAAUGUUGGAUUGUAAAGAUGAUACUCCCUCCGUCCACAAUUUAAAGCCCUACUUGCUCUUAAAUUUUUGUCCACAAUUUAAAGCCCUAUUAUGACUUUUGUACUUUUUUACUCCUCUUCUUUUCUUAUAUUUAGUACCAUUUGUCACUAAUGGACUCACCUUAAAACACAUUUAUCAUUUUAAUAUUCUAUAUUUACUACACUUUAUCACUAGUGGACCCACUCACAACACCUUUAUCACUUUAGUCAACUACCUUUAUCAUUUUAGUCAAUACCUUAUAUUUCAUCUGCAUCAUCUUUUUCAGUUUUCUUAGUCUCCGUACCCACACCAAAGUGGGGCUUUAAAUUGUGGACAGAGGGAGUAGUACUUUUUUAGAAUUACAAAAGGUAUCUAAUAUAUAAUUAAAUAAGCAAUUCACAAUUCUACAUCAUACAAAGAUGAAAACAAAAGAGAGUGCCUUAUCGACAAUUAACAUUACUUUUUAUUUAAUGACAACCAAUGGAAACAACUUUUGCACGAACUCAUAAAAAAGUCAACGUAUAAAAUUUCUAUAGGAAAAUUUCUUAUGUAAAAUCACAACAAAAAAUUAAUUUUUUACCGAGGGAAUUAUCCCUUGCUAACUUUUACGUCGGGUCAAGUAUCGGCUGAGUAUUAAUUUUACCGAGGGAAAAUCACUCGGUAAUUUUUCUAAAUUCACCGAGGAACAUUUUCCUCGGUAAUUUUCGGACACUUUUUAUUAAAAUAUCGAGGGAGAUUUCCCUCGGUAAUCCCUCGGUAAUUUUUUAUUUUUUAUUAAUAUUUAAUUUUUAUUUUUGACGUACCUAGUGACGACAAUCUUUUUAUCAAUAAAUCCAACCACAAUAACAUCUUUUCAUAAUCUAAACAUAAUUUUAAAUUUUUAAUUUCAUUCAACAUUGUUCAAUGUCCAACAAUAUGUCCAUAUGUAAAUAUUAUAAUAAUGUAUCAAAAGUUACGAAAUAAACUACAUCAAAGCUAAAUAUCAUAAUAAUGUAUCAAAAAGGUACUAAAUAAACUACAUCAAGGCUAAGGAUUGUCUUCUGGUAAGUCUGAACCUCCUGGGCCACUAUUCCUCGACUGCUGCCUGCUGGGACCUCAUGAACUGCUGAAACAUCUCAUUAGUUACUCGAAGUGAUUCCUCCAAUCGGAGUUUAUGUUCACGCUCCUCUUGAAGCUGCUGCUGCUCUUCAAAUCGAGCAUCAACGUGCUGUGAAUGGAUAGUCUGUAAUGUAACGCCCACGAGACUCUGUGCAAAGAUACCAGUGCCGAACAUCCUCCGCCCAAGAAAAUGCCAAAGAAAUUUAUCCGUAGAGUGUGAAACAAUUGACCUCGAUAUCAAUAUCAGUGCAAGUUUGCGCAAAUGUUUUUUUUCUCUCUCCUCAAUUAUUGGACUUUUUUGUGGAACGUGAGUUAUCUUCGUUGCUCAUUCCUACUAUAUUCCCUACUAGAAUAACCUCUCUCACACCCACACACUCUCCCUUUGAAUCGGUUUGAGCAAUUGAAACGGUUUGGUUCGGUUUAAAAAUUUAGGGGCGGUUUGGGUUCAGAUUUUUCCACUACGGUUCGUUUUCAACCCAAACUGCCCGAAUGCUCAGCCCCACAAUAAGGCCAUAGUUUGAACUUUCAACUACAAUAACCACUCUCUCUCUCCUCACACACCACACACUCUCUCUCUCCCUUUGAGAAUUGAGAUGGGGGAGGCUGCAGUGGCAUUCUUGCUGGAGCAAGUGAAGGAGGUGGUGAUAGGUUACGCCGAUCUGAUUUUCGGAGCGGAGAAUGAGUUGGAGCAGCUGAAGAGCGACCUGGCUUUACUCAAAGGUUUCCUCAAGCAGAUGGCGGAGAAGAAGAAGAAGGAAGAUCCGUUGAGGAUACUGGAGAGGCAGACGAGGGAUGCGGUGUACGCGGUCGAGGACACCAUAGACAAAUGCUUCACCAACGCCAUCGCCAAGAAAUCCUUCCACCGCUCUGUGGGUUUGAAAAAUGUGAGCCUCGCCAAGGAGGUGAGAUCUAUUAGAGAAGACAAAGUCAAACCAUUGCUUGACAAGUUUGCUACAUUCGAUUUCAAAUCUGCAGGCGUCCAAGAUUCAUUGACUGUGUCAAAAGGGGUACAUACUCAUUCUCAUCCUAUUUCCAUUUUCUUUUUACUAGCAGAGAUUACGUGCGUUCGCUCGUAAAAAAGAAUUAUUUUAAUGAAUAAAUUUUUAUGAGUGUAAAUUUAUAUUUUAUUUCAUUUUAUAGCAAUAUUUAUCAUUUUGAUGUAUUUUUUGAACCAAUUAUUGAUUAAUAUUUUAAAAGUAUAAUGUUAUUGAACUCAUAAAAUAAAAUUUAUUUAAAUAAACAUCACCUAAUUUUGUCUUCGUAUUUAUUUUAUAGGUUUCAUCUUUACAUCAUUAAUUUUAAUUCCAAAGAUUCUAGCAAAAUUAAAAUUAUAAUUCUUUGUAUUUAUUAAUUCUAAAUUAUUAAAAUUAUAUAAUAAAAAAUACUAGUAACUUAUAUGAUGAAGAGUCCUAAUGGAUGCUACUACUUAAAUAAUUAUUAAAAUAUAAAGGAUAAACCAUAAUAUAUUUAUAGAUAUAUUAUAUGUGUAAUAUAUUAAAUUACACAAUUGACAUUACAUUAAGUAUAUAUAUGAGGGACAUAAUAGACAAAUCAAAUUUUGUAAAAAAAGGCUCUUUUAUAAUAGGUAUAGAUUAUCAUUUUAAUUCUAAAAUUAAUAUGGAGCAACGAUGAGAAGUUGAGAAUGACUCCCUGUGUCCACAAACAAAAUUGACACAUUAUACACUGCAUAAAUUUUAAUAAAAAUGUAAGUAAAGUUUUUUUUAGUGAUGUAAGACUCAUUUUAAAUGUAAAUAAAAUUGAAUGGAUUCUAUUACUCUCUUCAUCUCAACAAAGUUGAGUCGUAUUUCUUUUCGUGUGGUCCCAACACACUUUCUAUUACUACAUCAUUUUUAGUUUGCUGGCUAUAUAGCCUAUAUUUGAUCUUUGUUUUUUGAAAAUAAAUAGGUUGUACAAACUUUGCUUAUGAAAAAUAUUUUCUAUGCAUGCACAAAGUCUUAUGACGGAGGAUUCAACUUGACAUCAUACACCUUAUCCUCCCUUGUUUAAAUUGGUGUUGGCGGCCAUUCUUACUUUCUGUAACAUUCACACAGGAUACACCAAUCAGACAAAACAGAGUAGUAGGAUUUGACAAGGAAGAAGCUACCAUAAGUGCCUAUCUCAAGGAAAAAACAGAUAAGCUCGAUGUUAUCUCGAUCGUGGGCAUACCUGGACAGGGGAAGACAACAUUGGCAUGGAAGAUUUAUCAGAGCGAUGAAAUCGGUUAUCAUUUCCCCAUUCGUAUCUGGGUUAACAUCUCUCAAGUGUUCAACAGCAGGGAUGUGUUCCUCGAAAUCCUGAAAAGAUUCUUCCCCAGCCAAGACACGUCCAGCCUCAACUUCAACGACUUGGCUCAAACAGUUCGCGCGUGUUUGGAGAAAGAGAAAUUCUUGUUAGUCUUAGACGACGUGUGGAGUGUCGUUGCGUGGGACAAGAUCAAGGAGGUGCUUCCAGUAGACAAUGGGGAGGCUAAAGUCCUCAUCACCACCCGAGAAACAGACGUGGGAGAGAAAUCCAGAGUCUACAAAGCUCCCCACAAUCUGAAGUUCCUAGAUAAUGAUGAAAGUUGGGAGCUCCUCCAAUACGAGGUGUUUGGUUUGGAAGACUGCCCGCCAGAACUGAGCACCGUUGGUUACGUUAUAGCCAAGAAGUGUGAUGGAGUGCCACUGACUAUAGUUGUGAUCGGAGGUAUCCUCUUCGACCAACUCACGAAAUCUCGAUCCACGGCUGCGAGUGAAUGGGAGACGGUGUCUACAAGUGUGAGUGGUGCCCUACAAGAUGACAAAACGCAGCGCAUAACAGAAGCUGUAGAGUUGAGCUACCAAAGGUUGCCAGAUGACUUGAGAGAAUGUUUUGUUUUCUUGGGUGUAUUUCCAGAAGAUUAUGAGAUUCCAGCUAAGAUGCUGUGCGGGCUGUGGAUUUCAGAAGGGUAUGUACUUCCGAGAAACGGGAAAAGCUUGGAGGAAAGCGCUGAAGAUAAUAUGAAUGAUCUCAUUUGCAGGAACUUGUUAAAGGUCGAGAAAACUAAUCACAUGGGCAAAGUUAAAACGUGCCAGGUUCAUGAUAUGAUACGUGCGUUCUGCAUAAAGAUAUCCAAGGACGAGAAUUUAUGUCACGAGAUUAAAACAUCCAAGACAGGCGCACUUGAACCUCCAGUUUCUGAGGUAAAAGACUCUCAUCGUCUUUGUUUCCGCUCCAAUCUCUCAAAGUUCCUGCAGGAAAGCCCGUGUGGUCCACACGUUCGUUCAUUUUUGUGUUUCUACGAGCGGCCUGUGGAGUUGGAGCCACAAUACAUAACAGUUAUACCAGAUGGCUUCAGAAAGCUUAGGAUUCUGGAGUCCAGGUGCAUCAUAUUCAACCAAUUUCCAGCAAAGAUUACCAAACUGAUUCAUCUUAGGUACCUCACCCUAUAUAUUGAAUCUCUGAAAAUUCUUCCAGAACCAAUCACCCAGCUAUGGAACCUACAAUCUCUUGUAGUCGAGACCAAGUCUCGUUCCAUUACAAUGAAAGCAAAUAUGUGGAGAAUGGUGCGGUUGAGGUAUCUCAAGACGAGAGCAGCCAUUGUCCUCGACAAUAAAUGGAAAGGUGAUGCAGGGCAGAACCUUCAUACGUUGAAUAGAUUGGCACCCGAAUGUUGCACGGAGGCCGUCUCCAAAAGGGCUAAAAACCUCAAGGCCUUGGGGAUUUCUGGUAAAGUGGCCAUUGUUUUUGAAAAUAAGUUCCUAGAAAACCUGCAUCAUCUGGAAAAGUUGAAGCUGGUGAAUAGUGUAACUUAUGAACAGACAUCCGAAGAUAAGCUGCACAGCCUUCCCCCACAGAAUCGUUUCCCGCCAUCUCUCAAGAGGCUGACAUUAACUAAUACAUUCCUGGGUUGGCAGCACAUGUCCACGUUGGCAACGAUCAGAAGCCUCGAGGCUCUAAAGUUGAAAGACAACGCAUUCGUUGGGCUCCCGUGGAAUCUUGGUCUUGACAGCUUUCCUAAUCUCCAACUCUUGCUGAUUUUAAACACAAAUCUAGUUCUUUGGGAGGCCUCAACUGACUCCUUUCCUAAGCUCAGGAUUCUUGUGGUUAAGAACUGUGAAAACCUCAAAGAAAUUCCAGAGUGUUUGGGAACACAUCUUGAGAAAUUGGAAAUAGAUCGCGUUCGCUUUUCUGCAGUUCAGUCCGCCAAGAAGAUCGAAGAAGCAAAGAAGGGAAAAUCAAAAGGCAAAUUUGAGUACCAUUCAAUCUCAUCGUAGGUCCUGCAUGUGAUACCAAGUGAUCGAGGCAAGUUUUAUUUUUUGGUAUCAGCAAUUUGAUUCAAUGCAUGUGAUGUGUUUCAAUGCGCAAAACAAGAGUUUCAAUAUUGUUCUUCAAUAUGGAUGUAUUGUUGGUCUUGUGGUUUAUUAGAUGAAAAAUGUUUAAGUAUCUGAUGUAUGCGAUUUAGUUGUCUAGAUUUGAAUUGUUUACCGUGAGUUUUAAUUGAUAUUGCCCAAGUUUGUUGGUAUGUUUUGUGCAAGAAUUGCAUGGCUUGCGAGUAAAGAGUUGUGGAUGCGAGAAGCUGACCAAAGACAUGAAUUUUUGUGAAGUUUUAGCUUGGAUGAUCGUACGCAGUUUAAACUAAAUAUAAAUUUGAUUUGAUUAAUUUUAGCAAAAAAAUUAACCAAAGACCACAUACACACCCCUAAUCUUUUUACGAAUCACACACACUUCCCUCAAAAAAAAAAAGUCUUAGGAUGCAUUCUCUUUGAUAGAAAAUGAUGAAAUACAUAAUAUUUUUCCAUUUUUUUUUCACUAUUUCAACUCGUUCUCUUAGUUAGAAAAUUGCACACCAUGUUAAAAUAUCACUUUUCAUAUAAUAUACAUGUCAAGUUGUUAUUUUUAUUUUUUGUUUAAAGAAGAUUAAUAAUAGUUCUCUAUGGUGGAAUAUCUAAAGUGCCAUGGGUUUUGAAUGUCUUCUAAAGAAAUUGAGUAGAAUUUGAUGCCUUUUAAUAGUGAGGCAUAAUUUAAAAGAUAAAUGAUGGAGUUGGGCCUUAACUUUUUGUAUUGGGCCGAAAUUUUGUUUAUUAUAUGAAGAAGCCCAAUUGAUAGGUAAUGCCGUAAUAGGUUAGCUGAUAAAAAUGCUUUAGAAAUUUUAUGAAUGAUAAUUAAUCAAUUCUUUUCUUUUCUUCUUUGACAACGAGAGCUCUUAAUCAGAUUCACUUCAUAGCUAAAUCAACAACAUUUUUAACCUCACAACUCUUGCAGUUCUUUGACAAUUUUUAACCAAAUCGGUGUCGAAAAUUCGAAGUUCAAUAAGUUUCAAAAAACUCCCUGGUGCUAGUCCCACUCUGGGCCUCAAAAAAACUCCAUCCCCAAAUAACUUCCCAACUUUUAUUUUCGGUCCGAGCCCUAAAAGGUGCCCGAUUUCAUGAAGAGCAUCGAGUUCCAAGUCGAAAGCACCCGCAACCGGCUCGAUGGACCGCCGCUCGUCGGCGUCGUAAUGAAACCUUCCAUUUCUUUGAUGUGAUUAAGCAAUCAACCAAUUUGAUCAAAGUCUUUAUGCGCGUUGAAAAUUAUCACAAGCUGCUUCCAAUUCAACUUUGAUUUUAAUAUUUUUCAACUACCAAAUUAAAUGAAACAGUGUUAAAUUAAAUUGAAUUUGAUGCCUUAUAAUAGUGAUCAGGCAUAAUUCAAAAGAUAAAUGAUGGAGAUGGGCCUUAAUUUUAUAUUGGGCCGAAUUUUUUUUAUUAUAUGAAGAAGCCCAAUUGGUCUAUGUUAAUUGAUAGGUAAUAGGUUAUCUGAUAAAAAUGCUUUAGAUUAGAAAUUUUAUGAAUGGUAAUUAAUGAAUUAUUUUCUUCUUUGACAACAAGAGCAGAGCUCUUAAUCAGAUUCACUUCAUAGCUAAAUCAACAUCUUUAAGUUUUCUGUAGUUUUCAUUCAAACUCACACCAAAUCAUGGAUUUUCUGUAGUUUUCAGCAAUCUUCUCAACCAAACAACUUUUAAAUUUCAACAGGGAUCGCAUCUCAACAAAUGUUCAUAUCGAUAAGUUUCUACUGAGGGGUAUCAUAAAUUUGAAAUAUGAAGCCAGAAAUUAGUUAGUAUAUUGCCAGAAUCUGAAAAUUUUAAGCUAUUAAAAACAACACAUAAACUGAUUACACAAAUAUUUAUGUCCAAUAAAAUUAAGGGUUAAUUGCCGGAAAAACCAUAUACUUUNNNNNNNNNNNNNNNNNNNNNNNNNNNNNNNNNNNNNNNNNNNNNNNNNNNNNNNNNNNNNNNNNNNNNNNNNNNNNNNNNNNNNNNNNNNNNNNNNNNNNNNNNNNNNNNNNNNNNNNNNNNNNNNNNNNNNNNNNNNNNNNNNNNNNNNNNNNNNNNNNNNNNNNNNNNNNNNNNNNNNNNNNNNNNNNNNNNNNNNNNNNNNNNNNNNNNNNNAGAAAAUAAAUAAACUGGAAUUAAAUAAAUAAAUAAACUGAAAAUUCGAAAAUAAAUAAAUAAAUUAAUUAAAAUCUGAAAAAAAAAUCAGAAAAUAAAUAAGCUUAAAAGUUCAAAUAUAAAUAAAUAAACUGAAAAAUCGAAAAUAAAUAACUAAAUUAAAAUCUGAAAUAUUAUUAUUUUUAGAAAAUAAAUAAACUGAAAAUUCUGAAAAUAAAUAAAACGGAAAUUAAUAAAUAAACUGAAAAUUCAGAAAAUAAAUAAAAUGGAAUUAAAUAAAUAAAUAAACUGAAAAUUUGAAAAUAAAUAAAUAAACUGAAAAUUCAGAAAAUAAAUAAAUAAACUGAAAAUUCGAAAAUAAAUAAAUUGGAAAUAAAUAAAUAAAUAAACUGAAAAUUUGAAAAUAAAUAAAAAAUAAAUAAACUGGAAUUAAAUAAAUAAAUAAACUGAAAAUUCGAAAAUAAAUAAAUUUAAUUAAAAUCUGAAAAAUUAUUUUUUUUAGAAAAUAAAUAAACUUAAAGUUCGAAAAUAAAUAAAUAAACUGAAAAUUCAGAAAAUAAAUAAAUAAAUAAAUAAAUAAACUGAAAAUUCGAAAAUAAAUAAAUAAAUAAACUGAAAAUUCAAAAAAUAAAUAAAAUGGAAUUAAAUAAAUAAAUAAACUAAAAAUUCGAAAAUAAAUAAACAGGAAAUAAAUAAACUGAAAAUUUGAAAAUAAAUAAACUGGAAAUAAAUAAAUGAAUAAAUAAACUGGAAUUAAAAUUUUCAGAAGAUAAAUAAAUAAAUAAACUGAAAACUGAAAAAUAAAUAAAUAAACUGAAUAUUUUAAAAUAAAUAAACUGAAAAUUCAGAAAAUAAAUAAACUGGAAAUAAAUAAAUGAAUAAAUAAACUGGAAUUAAAAUUUUCAGAAAAUAAAUAAAUAAAUAAACUGAAAAUUCGAAAAUAAAUAAACUGAAAAUUUAGAAAAUAAAUAAACUGAAAUGAAUAAAUAAACUGAAAAUUGAAAAAUAAAUAAACUGGAAUUAAAAUUUUCAGAAAAUAAAUAAAUAAAUCAACUGAAAACUGGAAAAUAAAUUUUUUAGAAAAUAAAUAAACUGAAAAUUCGAAAAUAAAUAAAUAAAUAUACUGAAAAUUACGAAAAUAAAUAAAUUGGAAAUAAAAUUUUCAGGACAUAAAUAAACUGGAAAUUUAAAAUAUCCUACUCCAUUUAAUUAACAUCAAAAUUGGAUUAAGUAGACAAGUAAUGGUAGAGUGUGGUGGGUCCAAUUGGUAAAGUGUAGUAAUUUAAAAAGUAAGGGAGGGUAUAUAAGUCCAAAAAGCAGAGUAGGUAGUUAAUUGGUGGACAAAAUUUUAGAGGCAAAUGGGUAGUUGAUUGGUGGACGGAGGGAGUAAUAAUUUAAACUAAAACAUAGAUAUUUUAAUAAUUCAAACUAAAACAUAUUUACAUCAAAUUAUAAAUAUGAUAAAAGUAUAUUUCUACUUGCAUUAGAAUUCUAUUUAUUAUCUAAUAAAAGCAAUGAAUUACUAGAUUUUCUAAAAUAAUAGAUUAUCAAAUGAAAUAACAUUAAUUACACGUAUAACGUACGUUCUUUCUGCUAGUAUAUCAAAAAUACACAUAAACAGUUUUCAGACAAAUCCAACUUACAACAAUUUUGGUUACAAACACAAUUCAACACUCAGGUUUCACAAUCCAUAAAUUCAUACAACAAUGUGGUAAUACAACAAAUGAAAUUACGGGAUAACACGACGUCUGAUCCCUUUGAUCGGCUCUCUCGUUUGCCUGAAAAUCGGUAGAUGGACAAUCUCAAACACUGUGAUUAUAAUAGGAUCAUUAAGACGUGAUAAUGCAAGGCAGACCUAUGCAAAUCCUUGUGAUAAUCUAAAUAAUUCAAAAUCGAUCAAACUGCUUGAUAAAAAUAAUGCAAACUCUCAACGUUGAGGGAACAGCCUGUGACUUAAAAUAGAACACAUAUAAUACCACUAGUUAAAGAAACAAUAUUUGUUGUCCAAUGAAAUUAACAUCAAAUCUUGAUUUCUACAACUCGAUCUAAAAUCAAGAGCACUUUAUAUGAGUUAGCAACAUCUACAGAAUGGCUUCUGCAGAGUGGAAGAGAGAAACUCAUUUUACGAGCACGAACACGCUAUCGAUUAACAUUAAAUAUGAGUUUGGAAAGGCAAUGUAAUUAAUAAAUAUUUUUAUAGUAUUUUGAUUCGAAAGUUCGAAAGUUAUUAUCCUAAUUUCCAAAUCAACCUAAGUUAUUGUCCUACAAAAACCCUCUAACUCCGACAACAUGAUAAUACAACAAUUGAAAUUAUGGGAUAACACGGCGUCUAAUAGUUUUGUUUUAUAGAUAUAUUCAAAAUUAAGUGAUUGUAAUUAAGUCAUGAUGGCAAGAGCUAAAGCCUAAAUGAGCUGAAACAAUGAAGAAUGUUACAUGUUUCACUUACUGAUGUAAAUUUACUAGCAAUUAAAACACAAUAGCAUUUCACAAACUUAAGAUAUGUAUUUGAUGUGGAAAAUGCACACACUUAUUUUUCUUAAGGGUAAUUUUAUACAUAGCCCCCAUUUUACUCACUAUAGCAAUCUAAUUUAAAAAAUAAUAAUAUUUUUUACUAUUUUGCCCUUUAACUCUUAAAUUAAUUAUCAACUAACUAACUACUUCAAUUUUGGAUUAAUAUUAAUUAACAAAGUAAAUAUCCAAUAUUUCGUAGUCUUUAAUAAUUUUCUACUUUUUUUCUUCUGAGGGAAAUCCUCUUCUACAUUCGAUAACCCUUAAUCCUUAAUCAAACGAAAAAUAAAAUAAAAACAGAAACAAAAACAAAAAUACAUCCAUCACUCCAUAGCCCCCAUUCGUAUUCGAUCUUCUUCUAAUUUCUAUGUUUUCAACUAAUUAGCAAUCGGCAAAUCCCUUUCGUACAUUUCCUUUUUCACUGAUUUAUCACUUGCUAUUCUUGUCAUACACUUUAACUGUGCAGAUAUCUAUAAAUCUCAUCAAAUAAUAACUUAAUCACCAUAACUCCAAAUUUUUGUGAAAAUAAAUACGUUAAAAAAAUAUAGCCCCACCUCCUUCUGACUAUUCUUAUAUUCUCAUGAAACAAAUUCUGAAAUUUAGUUGGAUUGCCAGAAUAAUCAUCUUUGCAGAAUCAAUUAAACAGAACAAUGCAUUGAAAAAUUUGUUCAUACGCUAUGGCUCCCGUCGAAAUCCCUAGGCCUUCUAAACUCAGCGUAAACUCUACAAUUUGGGGGCUAUGUAUAUAAUUUAUUAUUAGGAAUUUAUUUUGAGAGCUAUAAGGGUAGAUAUGUACAUUUAUAAUUAUUUAAAUAAUUUUUUAAAUUAGAGGCUAUAAAGAGUAAAAUNAAAUUACGGGAUAACACGACGUCUGAUCCCUUUGAUCGGCUCUCUCGUUUGCCUGAAAAUCGGUAGAUGGACAAUCUCAAACACUGUGAUUAUAAUAGGAUCAUUAAGACGUGAUAAUGCAAGGCAGACCUAUGCAAAUCCUUGUGAUAAUCUAAAUAAUUCAAAAUCGAUCAAACUAGUUGAUAAAAAUAAUGCAAACUCUCAACGUUGAGGGAACAACCUGUGCCUUAAAAUAGAACACAUAUAAUACCACUAGUUAAAGAAACAAUAUUUGUUGUCCAAUGAAAUUAACAUCAAAUCUUGAUUUCUACAACUCGAUCUAAAAAUCAAGAGCACUUGAUAUGAGUUAGCAACAUCUACAUGUACAAUGGCUUCUGCAGAGUGGAAGAGAGGAACCUCAUUUUUACGAGCACGAACACGCUAUUGAUUAACAUUAAAUAUGAGUUUGGAAAGGCAAUGUAAUUAAUAAAUAUUUUUUAUAGUAUUUUGAUUCGAAAGUUCGAAAGUUAUUAUCCUAAUUUCCAAAUCAACCUAAGUUAUUGUCCUAAAAAACCCUCUAACUCCGACAACAUGAUAAUACAACAAUUGAAAUUAUGGGAUAACACGGCGUCUAAUAGUUUUGUUUUAUAGAUAUAUUCAAAAUUAAGUGAUUGUAAUUAAGUCAUGAUGGCAAGAGCUAAAGCCUAAAUGAGCUGAAACAAUGAAGAAUGUUACAUGUUUCACUUACUGAUGUAAAUUUACUAGCAAUUAAAACACAAUAGCAUUUCACAAACUUAAGAUAUGUAUUUGAUGUGGAAAAUGCACACACUUAUUUUUCUUAAGGGUAAUUUUAUACAUAGCCCCCAUUUUACUCACUAUAGCAAUCUAAUUUAAAAAAUAAUAAUAUUUUUUACUAUUUUGCCCUUUAACUCUUAAAUUAAUUAUCAACUAACUAACUACUUCAAUUUUGGAGUAAUAUUAAUUAACAAAGUAAAUAUCCAAUAUUUUUCGUAGUCUUUAAUAAUUUUCUACUUUUUUUCUUCUGAGGGAAAUCCUCUUCUACAUUCGAUAACCCUUAAUCCUUAAUCAAACGAAAAACAAAAUAAAAACAGAAACAAAAACAAAAAUACAUCCAUCACUCCAUAGCCCCCAUUCGUAUUCGAUCUUCUUCUAAUUUCUAUGUUUGCAACUAAUUAGCAAUCGGCAAAUCCCUUUCGUACAUUUCCUUUUUCACUGAUUUAUCACUUGCUAUUCUUGUCAUACACUUUAAUUGUGCAGAUAUCUAUAAAUCUCAUCAAAUAAUAACUUAAUCACCGUAACUCCAAAUUUUUGUGAAAAUAAAUACGUUAAAAAAAUAUAGCCCCACCUCCUUCUGACUAUUCUUAUGCUAUUUGGUCACCGCCGUUGUAAGUUAUCUCAAUUUUGCCGGCAUCAAAGUGUGUGCUCGAUCCAAUUGGAUUGUAUUCAUAUAUUCUAAUGAAACAAAUUCUGAAAUUUAGUUGAUUGCCAGAAUAAUCAUCUUUGCAGAAUCAAUUAAUCAGAACAAUGCAUUGCAAAAUUUGUUCAUACGCUAUGGUUCCCGUCGAAAUCCCUAGGCCUUCUAAACUCAGCGUAAACUCUACAAUUUGGGGGCUAUGUAUAUAAUUUAUUAUUAGGAAUUUAUUUUGAGAGCUAUAAGGGUAGAUAUGUACAUUUAUAAUUAUUUUAAAUAAUUUUUUAAAUUAGAGGCUAUAAAGAGUAAAAUGGGGGCUGUGUUUAAAAUUACCCUUUUCUUAAUUGCCUCAGCAUCACAUAUAACAUUUUCUGUUAGUUUUACUCCUAUUACGUACAUAUUUUAUUUUAAGGUUUUUUUUUGUGUAUUAUAUACAUAUUGGGCCCAAGUCGGAAUAGAAGAAAAUUAUGUCAUGGGGAAUUCAGCCCAACUCAAAAUCUGGUUUUUGAUGUUGAAUUGUUGAGCUUAAUUUGAGUAAAUUGCAGUGUUUUAAUUGCUUCUUUGUUAUCAAUUCAAGGAAUAAAAAUGGAUUAUAUAUAGUUAGGCAAAUUUAAAAGAUAAAUGAUGGAGCUGGGCUUAUAUUUUGUAUUGGGCCGAAAAUUUAUUUUUAUAUAGAGAAGCCCAAUUAGUGUAUGUUAAUUCAUAGGUAAUAGGUUAGUUGAUAAAUGCCUUAGAUAUUUUAUUACUGCUUAAGGAAAGGUUUGUUGAUCUAUGUGCGCGGCCUUUAAAUUUCUUUAUUUAUGUGUAAUUUAUCCAAAAAAAAAAAUUUACUUCAUAGCUAAACCAACAACUCCUACGGUUACUAAUAAAAUUAACAUCAAAUCUUGAUUAAUUACUAUAACUACGAUCUAAAUACAAGAGCACUUGAUAUGAGUUAGCAACAUCUACACAAUGGCUUCGGCAGAGUGGAAGAGAGGAACCUCAUCUUACGUACGAGCACGAACACGCUAUCGAACCUCAGUUGGCUAGAAUCCGUUACUCCAACGAGUCUUAUCUGCGUCUGCUUCUAGUCUGAGAUGACGGUGAGCUUGAGGAAUCUACUCGACUUGACUCAGCUCGAUUCGUUUGCUUCUUUCUGCGUCUCCACGCGAGUUGGAUCCGUCUAGCUGCAAUUCCUCGCCAAUAAGGCGAUUCAUACCUACAAUGCAAAGAAGGCAACGAGUGCAAUAUAUGAUGCUCACAAUGCUAUGCACGAACGUGUUUGCAAGCUAACGAGCCCAAUACUUUCAAGUUAAUCGAUUCAUUUAUAGGUUAUGCAUUAUAAAGAAGUUACCUUAUGGCGCCUUGAACAAGUGAACUCCUUAAGAAUCUUGCGAAGAGAUCUUCAAAAACAGCAGCUCGUAAUACAAAGGCCUCGACGUUUGUUAAACAAGUUACUAGUAAUCUACAUACAGCAGAAACUCACCUGCGGCAGGGGAAGCAACUCUCGAUCGUCUCUUUCAUUUGCCUGAAAAUCGAUAGAUGGACAAUCUCAAACACUGUGACUAUAACAGAAACAUUAAGACGUAAUAUUGCAAAGUAGUAAGACUAACCUGUUAGGCAAGUUGCAGACUCACUUGACCUCAAAAAGAAGAUUCGACGAAAAGGUCAAAGGAAAACUUGUCUUUUAAUUCAUUGGCACAAGCGACAACUAAAGGAUUGCACUCGCGUAAAUGAAUGAUCUCUAUCGAAGAGUGGUCAUACGGCCAAUCGAGCUGUUGUAAUUUGUAGCAAUGUUGCAUGCUUAGUCUACGAAGCUCCGGGAAGCUUCCACGUUGAGGUCUCCAUCGCACCAUAUCGGUGUCUUCAAUUUGAAGUUCAAUAAGUUUCAAAAAACUCCCCGGUGUUAUGUCCCAC
rnacentral:lncRNA from 1 species